GCGGGAGAGGAUCGGCCGGGACAGAGUCCAGAGCCGGCCGCCGAAGGCGCAACUCGCUCGGAAUCGCUCAGGCAAAAGGACCGUAGCA
rnacentral:ncRNA from 1 species